rnacentral:rRNA from 3 species
GCGUACCUUUUGUAUAAUGGGUCAGCGACUUAUAUUCUGUAGCAAGGUUAACCGAAUAGGGGAGCCGGAGGGAAACCGAGUCUUAACCGGGCGUUAAGUUGCAGGGUAUAGACCCGAAACCCGGUGAUCUAGCCAUGGGCAGGUUGAAGGUUGGGUAACACUAACUGGAGGACCGAACCGACUAAUGUUGAAAAAUUAGCGGAUGACCUGUGGCUGGGGGUGAAAGGCCAAUCAAACCGGGAGAUAGCUGGUUCUCCCCGAAAGCUAUUUAGGUAGCGCCUCGUGAAUUCAUCUCCGGGGGUAGAGCACUGUUUCGGCUAGGGGGCCAUCCCGGCUUACCAACCCGAUGCAAACUGCGAAUACCGGAGAAUGUUAUCACGGGAGACACACGGCGGGUGCUAACGUCCGUCGUGAAGAGGGAAACAACCCAGACCGCCAGCUAAGGUCCCAAAGUCAUGGUUAAGUGGGAAACGAUGUGGGAAGGCCCAGACAGCCAGGAUGUUGGCUUAGAAGCAGCCAUCAUUUAAAGAAAGCGUAAUAGCUCACUGGUCGAGUCGGCCUGCGCGGAAGAUGUAACGGGGCUAAACCAUGCACCGAAGCUGCGGCAGCGACACUGUGUGUUGUUGGGUAGGGGAGCGUUCUGUAAGCCUGUGAAGGUGUGUCGUGAGGCAUGCUGGAGGUAUCAGAAGUGCGAAUGCUGACAUAAGUAACGAUAAAGCGGGUGAAAAGCCCGCUCGCCGGAAGACCAAGGGUUCCUGUCCAACGUUAAUCGGGGCAGGGUGAGUCGACCCCUAAGGCGAGGCCGAAAGGCGUAGUCGAUGGGAAACGGGUUAAUAUUCCCGUACUUGGUGUUACUGCGAAGGGGGGACGGAGAAGGCUAUGUUGGCCGGGCGACGGUUGUCCCGGUUUAAGCGUGUAGGUGUGUGUUCCAGGUAAAUCCGGUUCACUUUAACACUGAGGCGUGACGACGAGGCACUACGGUGCUGAAGCAACAAAUGCCCUGCUUCCAGGAAAAGCCUCUAAGCAUCAGGUAACAUCAAAUCGUACCCCAAACCGACACAGGUGGUCAGGUAGAGAAUACCAAGGCGCUUGAGAGAACUCGGGUGAAGGAACUAGGCAAAAUGGUGCCGUAACUUCGGGAGAAGGCACGCUGACACGUAGGUGAAGUGAUUUACUCAUGGAGCUGAAGUCAGUCGAAGAUACCAGCUGGCUGCAACUGUUUAUUAAAAACACAGCACUGUGCAAACACGAAAGUGGACGUAUACGGUGUGACGCCUGCCCGGUGCCGGAAGGUUAAUUGAUGGGGUCAGCGCAAGCGAAGCUCCUGAUCGAAGCCCCGGUAAACGGCGGCCGUAACUAUAACGGUCCUAAGGUAGCGAAAUUCCUUGUCGGGUAAGUUCCGACCUGCACGAAUGGCGUAAUGAUGGCCAGGCUGUCUCCACCCGAGACUCAGUGAAAUUGAACUCGCUGUGAAGAUGCAGUGUACCCGCGGCAAGACGGAAAGACCCCGUGAACCUUUACUAUAGCUUGACACUGAACAUUGAGCCUUGAUGUGUAGGAUAGGUGGGAGGCUUUGAAGUGUGGACGCCAGUCUGCAUGGAGCCGACCUUGAAAUACCACCCUUUAAUGUUUGAUGUUCUAACGUGGACCCGUUACCCGGGUUGCGGACAGUGUCUGGUGGGUAGUUUGACUGGGGCGGUCUCCUCCUAAAGAGUAACGGAGGAGCACGAAGGUUGGCUAAUCCUGGUCGGACAUCAGGAGGUUAGUGCAAUGGCAUAAGCCAGCUUGACUGCGAGCGUGACGGCGCGAGCAGGUGCGAAAGCAGGUCAUAGUGAUCCGGUGGUUCUGAAUGGAAGGGCCAUCGCUCAACGGAUAAAAGGUACUCCGGGGAUAACAGGCUGAUACCGCCCAAGAGUUCAUAUCGACGGCGGUGUUUGGCACCUCGAUGUCGGCUCAUCACAUCCUGGGGCUGAAGUAGGUCCCAAGGGUAUGGCUGUUCGCCAUUUAAAGUGGUACGCGAGCUGGGUUUAGAACGUCGUGAGACAGUUCGGUCCCUAUCUGCCGUGGGCGCUGGAGAACUGAGGGGGGCUGCUCCUAGUACGAGAGGACCGGAGUGGACGCAUCACUGGUGUUCGGGUUGUCAUGCCAAUGGCACUGCCCGGUAGCUAAAUGCGGAAGAGAUAAGUGCUGAAAGCAUCUAAGCACGAAACUUGCCCCGA